rnacentral:rRNA from 1 species
GACGGGGGAUGCAAGUGUUAUCCGGAAUCACUGGGCGUAAAGCGUCUGCAGGUGGUUUCCUAAGUCCACUGUUAAACCUUGAGGCUCAACCUCAAAUCUGCAUUGGAAACUAGGAGACUUGAGUAUAGUAGGGGUAGAGGGAACUUCCAGUGGAGCGGUGAAAUGCGUAGAUAUUGGGAGGAACACCGGUGGCGAAGGCGGCUUCCUGGACUGUCCCUGACGCUGAGGCUCGAAAGCGUGGGUAGCAAACAGG